AGGUCUCUCAAGUCCCAGGCUAGCACCCUAACCACAGAACCAUCCAGUCUCUCACUGAGGCAUAGUUCUCUUCUAUUUGUUUUUUAGAAUAUGCUGAGCCAAGGAAUACUAUCCCAGAGUUAAUCAUAUAGCAUUCUUAUCACAGCCCCACGAGUAACAAGAGGUUACUGGCCUAGUGGAUUGGGGAAGCAGUAAAUCCGAUAUGCCUUGAUUUUAUUAAUGCUUCUGACAGUCUCGGAUGUGCUCAUAAGCAAACUAGGGAAAUGUGGUCUAGACUAUAUUGCCAUAAAGGAAAACCACAAGUAUUUAGAAGAAUUCCCACCAGAUCCUGCUACAGAUGAUCAAUAAAGGUGGUUGUGACCACGUUUGUAUUUUUAUUUACACGCAAAGAAAAAUUAUGAAGAGUGCUGCGGAGCACAAGAGAAUCAGUGGGCCACAGUCAGAGUCUCAAGCGUGCUAAGGAUGUUGAACCAGUCAUAAAGGCUAUUAAAAAUGGAGGUACCUUGAGAGAUCCCCACAGAAAGAAAGAAUUUAGCAGAAUCCUGCUCUCACUCCCCAAGCUAUAUUUUGACUUUGCAG